AUUUCUGUGGUCGUGUAAUUUAAGUAUUCCCAGGAAGACAUGCUGGUGGAUACAAGACAGAAAAGUGACCCAAAACAGCCAUAGAGCAAAUGCAUCCUCCCACAGUGCUUCUGUUUGCUGCAAGGAGCGCAUGGCUGGAUAUGUAUAAAUCACAGCCCCAUUUAUGUGGAGGAAGACUGUAAAGAAAGCUUAAGCUCAUCCAGACCACUGCUGAAGGUUCUGUGUGGGGGGGAAAUGCUCACCAAGCUGCAGGAAACCAUCAAAUAACCCAAAGGAAACACAGAUGCCGGCUGAUUUAACGUGUCCCCAUUUGCAGUCUAUAAAUACCUCUGUGGUGAGCUCUGAAGAUCUCAGUUUAUCUGUGAUGAGGAAAUGCAGGCAGAAAGCAGCCUCACAGACAAAUGGAAUGGAUUUCACAGCACCGCCAUUUGUUGCCUCUCCUUCUGCUGUGCCGCUUACACCACAGAAACAGCCCUGCAGCCCUAAUGGGAAACCUGUCCUACCCGGGCUCUAUGGCUUUAGGAAGGAUAUCGUCGGUGCUGUUGUGGCUUCAGUGCUCAACCACAGCUCCGGGUGUCAGAGCGUGCAGCAGGUGUUCUUUUUCCAGAGGUCAGUGGAAGUCCCGUUCUCUCAAGGCAGCAGCACACUGAGAAUCAUUGCUGUGCUUUUCAGAGCUACAGGAGCACUGUGCUGUGUCACUGCAUGCCCACAGGGAUCAGCUGUGCACACACACAGCUCUGAUCACCAGCAUGACAUGGAAGCUAAGGCUGGGUGGAUUAAGGAGCUGGCUUAUGGAUGGUGAAUGGAAGUCCCAUUAGCCAUCAGCAAGGUCCAGUCUGUGCAUGUGAAAUGGUGAGUUGCAAGAUGCUGCAAAAUUGGAAAGUGUUGCUCUGUAGUACCAGGGAACAUUAACAAGUGUAAUGGGUUUGCAUGACGCAAAUAGGGUGAAUGGCAGAAUGGAUUCAUGUCUUUUUGUUUUCUUUCCAGCUUGUUAUUAUCUCAAGGAAAAAAACACUAAUUACCAGAAGCUAAUAGCUAGUGUGUUACUUACCCUCUUAAUUAGUACCCUAAUUAUUAAGUGCAGUGAUAACCACUAGUUAGAGCAUAUUUACUCUUUAAGACUUUCUUGUUUAUCUGUCUUUCCACUCCCUCUUUUUAAUAUUGCUGACACCAGUGGAGCUGCUGCAGAGAGAAUACAGCAAAUUUCCCCUCGGGAAAGGCAGCAUUUUGAGCCCCCUCUGUGCUGCCACCACUUUUAUUCUG
ensembl:lncRNA